rnacentral:rRNA from 1 species
AGUGAACGCUGGCGGUAGGCCUAACACAUGCAAGUCGAACGGCAGCACAGUAAGAGCUUGCUCUUACGGGUGGCGAGUGGCGGACGGGUGAGGAAUACAUCGGAAUCUACUUUUUCGUGGGGGAUAACGUAGGGAAACUUACGCUAAUACCGCAUACGACCUACGGGUGAAAGCAGGGGAUCUUCGGACCUUGCGCGAUUGAAUGAGCCGAUGUCGGAUUAGCUAGUUGGCGGGGUAAAGGCCCACCAAGGCGACGAUCCGUAGCUGGUCUGAGAGGAUGAUCAGCCACACUAGAACUGAGACACGGUCCAGACUCCUGCGGGAGGCAGCAGUGGGGAAUAUUGGGCAAUGGGCGCAAGCCUGAUCCAGCCAUACCGCGUGGGUGAAGAAGGCCUUCGGGUUGUAAAGCCCUUUUGUUGGGAAAGAAAAGCAGCAGGUUAAUACCCCGCUGUUCUGACGGUACCCAAAGAAUAAGCACCGGCUAACUUCGUG